rnacentral:rRNA from 1 species
UACGUAGGGUGCAAGCGUUAUCCGGAUUUAUUGGGCGUAAAGGGCUCGUAGGCGGUUCGUCGCGUCCGGUGUGAAAGUCCAUCGCUUAACGGUGGAUCCGCGCCGGGUACGGGCGGGCUUGAGUGCGGUAGGGGAGACUGGAAUUCCCGGUGUAACGGUGGAAUGUGUAGAUAUCGGGAAGAACACCAAUGGCGAAGGCGAUUCUCUGGACUGUAACUGACGCUGAGGCUCGAAAGCGUGGGGAGCAAACAGG